rnacentral:rRNA from 1 species
UUAAUGAGAGUUUGAUCCUGGCUCAGGACGAACGCUGGCGGCGUGCCUAAUACAUGCAAGUAGAACGCUGAAGGAGGAGCUUGCUUCUCUGGAUGAGUUGCGAACGGGUGAGUAACGCGUAGGUAACCUGCCUGGUAGCGGGGGAUAACUAUUGGAAACGAUAGCUAAUACCGCAUAAGAGUGGAUGUUGCAUGACAUUUGCUUAAAAGGUGCACUUGCAUCACUACCAGAUGGACCUGCGUUGUAUUAGCUAGUUGGUGGGGUAACGGCUCACCAAGGCGACGAUACAUAGCCGACCUGAGAGGGUGAUCGGCCACACUGGGACUGAGACACGGCCCAGACUCCUACGGGAGGCAGCAGUAGGGAAUCUUCGGCAAUGGACGGAAGUCUGACCGAGCAACGCCGCGUGAGUGAAGAAGGUUUUCGGAUCGUAAAGCUCUGUUGUAAGAGAAGAACGAGUGUGAGAGUGGAAAGUUCACACUGUGACGGUAUCUUACCAGAAAGGGACGGCUAACUACGUGCCAGCAGCCGCGGUAAUACGUAGGUCCCGAGCGUUGUCCGGAUUUAUUGGGCG